UACAUGUGGGGCAAGCGUUGUUCGGAAUUACUGGGCAUAAAGGGUGCGUAGGUGGCUUGUUAAGUCAGGGGUGAAAGUUUUCGGCCCAACCGGAAAAUGGCCUUUGAUACUGGCGAGCUCGAGUGCGUGAGGGGUAACCGGAACGAGCAGUGUAGCGGUGAAAUGCGUAGAUAUUGCUCGGAAGGCCAGCGGCGAAGGCAGGUUACUGGUGCGCAACUGACACUGAGGCACGAAAGCGUGGGGAGCAAACAGG
rnacentral:rRNA from 1 species